rnacentral:rRNA from 1 species
CCCAACUUUCGUUCGGACCUCCGAUCAAGCAAGAGGACCCGCUGAAUUUAAGCAUAUAACUAAGCGGAGGAAAAGAAACUAACCAGGAUUCCCCCAGUAACGGCGAGUGAAGCGGGAAGAGCUCACGUUGUAAAUCUGACUUCGGUCCGAAUUGUAGUCUGGAGAGGCGUGACCAGCUGGAGUCGGGGGCGAAGUCUCUUGGAAAAGAGCAUCAAGGAGGGUGACAAUCCCGUUCUUGCCCCCGCGCUCCACGCGUACGGUCCGUUUUCUACGAGUCGAGUUGCUUGGGAUUGGCAGCUCAAAGCGGGUGGUAAAUUCCAUCUAAAGCUAAACACGGGUGGGAGACCGAUAGCGAACAAGUACCGUGAGGGAAAGAUGCAAAGAACUUUGAAAAGAGAGUUAAAGAGUGCCUGAAAUUGCUGAAAGGGAAGCGAAGGAAACCAGUGUCUGCCGGUUCCGCUUCUCCUUGGCCCCUCGGGGCCUUGGUUUGCGUUUCCGCCGUGGCCAGGGCCGGGUAGUGUUGCGGGAGCCUGCGCUUCGGAAGGUAGCAUCUCUUCGGAGUGUGAAGACCGUGGCGUGUCGUCGCGACGCUGGCCGGUUCUGACGAAAUGGUUUUCUUUACCCCGUCU